CCUACGGGGCGCAGCAGUGGGGAAUAUUGCACAAUGGGGGAAACCCUGAUGCAGCGACGCCGCGUGAGCGAUGAAGUAUUUCGGUAUGUAAAGCUCUAUCAGCAGGGAAGAAAAUGACGGUACCUGACUAAGAAGCCCCGGCUAACUACGUGCCAGCAGCCGCGGUAAUACGUAGGGGGCAAGCGUUAUCCGGAUUUACUGGGUGUAAAGGGAGCGUAGACGGCGGUGCAAGUCUGAUGUGAAAACCCGGGGCUCAACCCCGGGACUGCAUUGGAAACUGUCGGACUAGAGUGUCGGAGAGGCAA
rnacentral:rRNA from 1 species